CAGGCAACAUUUCGUUCUGUUACACAUGGGGAAAGGGACCGAGAAGAGGCUGUAUGUUGGUUGCCAAAGUCCUGGGUGAGCACCGGGUGAAGCCAUUUCAGAACUCUGCUGAGGUCAGAGAGCUGCAGGUUCUGCAUGUCUUCCUAACAGGAAUCCCCAAGAUGGGGGCUUUCAGCAGAGCCCCCCAACUAGUAAGUAUGAGUAUGCUAGCUUCCAGCCCACACUGAAGAGGUCCACUGCUAAGGAUUUGAGAUGAAAUCUGCUCAUUAUCUUUCCUUUAAGCUGUCUUUGAAAGCGCCAUUGUCUCUGAGCACAUAUUAGAUUCCUGUGACGCUCUCUGCUCUCCACAGCUGUUUUCUAUGAAACCAUCACAACUGCCUAGGCCUGGGGUACUUUACACAAGUGCUCUCAGUGAUUGUACUGUUGAUUGCUGAAGUGUCUUAUCUCCUUUAAAAUCUCUGCUAGUUGCGAUCUUAUUAGAGAUCAGCAAAGGGAAUUAAUUCUGUGAUAUCUACGAAGAUUAUUAUUUAUUAGGCUAUUUAUUUUAAAAUUUAUUUUGUUGCUGUUGAGAAUAUACACAGCAAAAUGUACACCAAUUCAACCAUUUCUACCUGUCCAAUUCAGUGACAUUGAGUACAUCCUUCAAGUUGUACAAGCAUUCUCACCCUCCUUUACUGAGUUGUUCCUCCUCCAUUAACAUAAAGUCAUUGCUCCCUAAGGUUCCUAUCUAUUCUUUCCAGCUGCUGUUGUAACUUUGAUCCCUUAUAGAUGGUUGUUAAAGGCAUAAUGAUCAAGGCAGACCUUUUUUACUACUUAAACUAACCUAUUGUUUCGUUUUAAGAAGAAUUCAGGGAAUAUUUUUGGUUUAAGGCUUAAAGAUUAUCCAAAAACCUCAUGGGAUUUGGUUUCCUGGUUUGGAGAUU